UAAUAUUCCAGCAGGUAAUCCUAAGAGAGAUAAAGUGUACAACAAGAAUGUUUUAAAAAUUGUUAAUGUGUGAUGAUGCAUAAAACUAACAUAAAUUCAGAAAUUAACUAAAUGAUAAUUAUUUUGUAUGUGUACAAGCUCAUGUUGUUGGGAGAUGGUCUAAUACGCGUAGUUGAUCAUCACUAUGUUUAUCAAGUAUGUCUAAGAAACGAU
rnacentral:lncRNA from 1 species